CGUUUCCCGGAUUCGUGGCCUGUUUUGCAGGCCAUCGAUUCCAAGGACUCGCCGUUGUCACACCUUGCUCCUUCCAUCCAUCCAUCCCUCUACUACGAAAUUAAAGCACUACUAGAAAAUUGAUCAUUUGGAACGGAUUUUUGGGACGAAAUGAAUUUUGUCUAAAGUAAAAUUGCACUUUCAUACAGAUUUUGGACAAGUUUCAAAUCUUUCUGAAAAGUUGGGACGAAUUUCAGACGAAACGCAUAUUGUUGAUUAUUUUAUAAUUUUUUCACGAUUUCCGUCCCAAAUCUAUGUGAAAUAUUGGGACGGCUUUGGGACGGGUCCAUAAUUUUGUGCAUUGUUACUGUUUCUAACCAGUUCCGUCCGAAAUUCGUGUGAAAUGUUGAGAUAGAUUUGAGACGGAUCUAUUAUAAAAAUUAAAAUGUACUCCAUCAUAACCCUAAUUUACUUUUCUGUCUAUAUACCUUCCGCCGUUUCAUUUUUUGCCUUCACUUUUGCUUGGCUUCUUCUCUGUAACACAUGCCUCUGUUUGAGAUGGUGCUUCGAGCGUGACUUGCUGGUGACAAAGAACCGAAACCCUUCUAGUUCAAUUUCGCCCAUGUCCCUCAAGAAGAUACAUCUCCCGUCGUUACUUUCUCCCAUCGAGGUAAGAUCCCUCCACCGCGACCAACAUCAUCGUGGUAAAAUUCUUCCCCAUUAUAAGUUAACAUUCUUUCUCCUUUCAUUGCUGUAGAAAACAUAGAGCCACUAUCAAGAUAGAUUCACUUGUUGUUACAUCUCUUCAACUUGUGUUGAGUUGGAUCUGAUCUAAUUCCCCCAAAUAUGGAACCCUAAUUCAGUAAUUUGUAUUUAACCAAAUCUUUGGCUCACAUGAUACAAGAGUAUAUCUCUGAUUUGUUUUAUUUCAAUUGCAGAAAUGAAACUAAAAAGUUAAAAGUUUGCUUUCAGAGUGCUGUAUAAACAAGUAUAACUAGAAGAAUAU